CGCGUUAACCCUUUGUCCGCACGCCCGAGGGUGCCGGCUGUGACCGCGCGGGCCCCUGAGGUGAUAGAGAUGAGACCUGGCGCGCCCGCUAGGCUGGCUUAGCCGGGGGUAGCAGCUCAACUACUUCCUCCUGACUUCCAGCAGCUGUUCUGGUUUCUUUCCCAGCAUUCAUACUCCUCCGUGAAAGACUGUGAGAUGUGGAUCUUGGCUGGAAGGGACUACAUGUAGACACAGAGCUUGUCUGUGGGUGAUCCCAGACUCCCUCCAGGAACCUCUGACUUAAGGCACGGUGUCCCUGAGUAGUUUCUUGUCAGGGGAAACAUCACCAUGCUCCAAUACUUUCUGGUUUUGAAAAGUAUGAAGAUGUUCUGAGGAUUAGGACGUGAACACCUUGGGGGAUUAUUCUGCCUACCGUCUGUUGAACAACAGCUGGAAACAAUAAUACAGCCAGUUCAUUUUCACACAUACUUGGGUAUUCUUGGAAUAAUUCAUCUGCUGUAGAAAUUCUUCAGCUGUCUUCAUUGCAGCCUUCCUCUCCUGGGGAUUAGCAUCUUUACCUAAAAUACAAGCCCCGUGGUCCAAAAUAAAGCAUUCUUCAGAAAGCAGCAUUGCCAUCGAGAAGGGGUUUUCUUCUGCCACCACAGUCACCCUCAUGGAGCCACUUGCAUCUGAA